AGUGAACGCUGGCGGUAGGCCUAACACAUGCAAGUCGAACGGCAGCACAGUAAGAGCUUGCUCUUACGGGUGGCGAGUGGCGGACGGGUGAGGAAUACAUCGGAAUCUACUUUUUCGUGGGGGAUAACGUAGGGAAACUUACGCUAAUACCGCAUACGACCUACGGGUGAAAGCAGGGGAUCUUCGGACCUUGCGCGAUUGAAUGAGCCGAUGUCGGAUUAGCUAGUUGGCGGGGUAAAGGCCCACCAAGGCGACGAUCCGUAGCUGGUCUGAGAGGAUGAUCAGCCACACUGGAACUGAGACACGGUCCAGACUCCUACGGGAGGCCGCAGUGGGGAAUAUUGGACAAUGGGCGCAAGCCUGAUCCAGACAUACCGCGUGGGUGAAGAAGGCCUUCGGGUUGUAAAACCCUUUUGUUGGGAAAGAAAAGCAGCAGGUUAAUACCCCGCUGUUCUGACGGUACCCAAAGAAUAAGCACCGGCUAACUUCGUG
rnacentral:rRNA from 1 species